CCUACGGGUGGCAGCAGUGGGGAAUAUUGCACAAUGGGGGAAACCCUGAUGCAGCGACGCCGCGUGAGUGCAGAAGUAUUUCGGUAUGUAAAGCUCUAUCAGCAGGAACGAGACAAGACGGUACCUGACUAAGAAGCCCCGGCGAACUACGUGCCAGCAGCCGCGGUAAUACGUAGGGGGCAAGCGUUAUCCGGAAUCACUGGGUGUAAAGGGAGCGUAGACGGCUGUGCAAGCCUGAUGUGAAAGCCCGCGGCCCAACCGCGGGACUGCAUUGGGAACUACCGGGCUGGAGUGCCGGAGAGGUAGGCGGAAUUCCUAGUGUAGCGGUGAAAUGCGUAGAUAUUAGGAGGAACACCAGUGGCGAAGGCGGCCUACUGGACGGUGACUGACGCUGAGGCUCGAAAGCGUGGGGAGCAAACAGGAUUAGAUACCCUAGUAGUC
rnacentral:rRNA from 1 species